ensembl:lncRNA
UUUGCAACCUUAGUCAGGGAGACAAACAUAUAAACAAACAGUACAGUGUGCAUCAAGGGGAGUGUGGAUGGCACAGAGCUGACAAGUAAGGAACUUGAAGCAGAUUCCUUAUAGGAUAGCCAAUUUCUUAUUGGAUGGCUUCCUGAUGAUCACUUUUUCUAGGGAUUUAUCGAGACUUUAGAGUCAGAAGUGACCUUCAAGAUUGUUUGAUACAGCGGUCUUGUGAAAUGAAACCUGUCUCGCAGCUAUUAUAAUACAGGUAUGGAACAUUCUCAAGAAAACAGGUCAUCCAGGGAUCUUCUGUGGAUUAUGUGUCACAGACUUCCUGUAUAGUUGAAAGUUGAGAGCUUCCUAUUAACAUCAGCUCUUUAGUCCACUUCCCAGCUUCAGGGAUUUGUGUACACUGUAUCAGAGUGGCCACUGAAAGUAAAAACUAAGCAGGUAGCAGGUGGUCGGU